AGCAGCCGCGGUAAUUCCAGCUCCAAUAGCGUAUAUUAAAGUUGUUGCAGUUAAAAAGCUCGUAGUUGAAUUUCGGGAUCAAAGAAUCGGUCAUGCCUUGGUAUGUACUGGUUUUAUUGGUUCUCACCUUCUAAAGAACCAUGAUGUCAUUCAUUUGAUGUUAUGGGGAAUUAGGACUGUUACCUUGAAAAAUUAGAGUGUUUAAAGCAAGCUUACGCUUGAAUACAUUAGCAUGGAAUAAUGAAAUAGGACAUCAGAUUCUAUUUUGUUGGUUUCUAGGAUCGAUGUAAUGAUUAAUAGGGAUAGUUGGGGGGCAUUAGUAUUCAAUUGUCAGAGGUGAAAUUCUUGGAUUUAUUGAAGACUAACUACUGCGAAAGCAUUUUGCCAAGGAUGUUUUCAUUAAUCAAGAACGAAAGUUAGGGGAUCGAAGACGAUCAGAUACCGUCGUAGUCUUAACCAUAAACUAUGCCGACUAGGGAUCGGAUGAUGUUAAUUUUUUCAAUGACUCAUUCGGCACCUU
rnacentral:rRNA from 1 species